UACAGAGGUCUCAAGCGUUGUUCGGAUUCAUUGGGCGUAAAGGGUGCGUAGGUGGCGAUGUAAGUCUGGUGUGAAAUCUCGGAGCUUAACUCCGAAACUGCAUUGGAUACUGCGUUGCUUGAGGAUUGUAGAGGAGAGUGGAAUUCACGGUGUAGCAGUGAAAUGCGUAGAUAUCGUGAGGAAGACCAGUUGCGAAGGCGACUCUCUGGGCAAUUCCUGACACUGAGGCACGAAGGCCAGGGGAGCGAACGGG
rnacentral:rRNA from 1 species